rnacentral:misc_RNA from 1 species
AAAGAAUUUCAUAAAGCCCAAAGUUCAUCCUUGAUCAACCAUUAUUUAUUAUUCCUUUCAAGUUCUAGACCUUAGAGUCUCAAGUUUCAACUACUUAAAUUAUAAACAUACUAAUGAAACAAAAGCAGAAAAAUUAGGCAACAUGAUACGUAAAAACAUUGAGGAUACCAUUACUUAUCCUUUUGAAGUAGCAAUAAUGUUUAGAUCUAUCUUUUAAUAAGUCAACCACAGUUUCUUAUUAUCAGAAUUUUACCUCAGGAAGUCAGCAUUACUACCUUGGGGGAAG